rnacentral:rRNA from 1 species
AGAGUUUGAUCAUGGCUCAGAAUCAACGCUGGCGGCGUGCCUAACACAUGCAAGUCGAACGAGAAAGUGGUAGCAAUACCAUGAGUAAAGUGGCGCACGGGUGAGUAACACGUGACUAACCUACCCUGGAGUGGGGGAUAACUGAGGGAAACCUUAGCUAAUACCGCAUAAUACCCACGGGUCAAAGGAGCAAUUCGCUCCAGGAGGGGGUCGCGGCCGAUUAGUUAGUUGGCGGGGUAACGGCCCACCAAGACGAUGAUCGGUAUCCGGCCUGAGAGGGCGCACGGACACACUGGAACUGAAACACGGUCCAGACUCCUACGGGAGGCAGCAGUGGGGAAUUUUGCGCAAUGGGGGAAACCCUGACGCAGCAACGCCGCGUGGAGGAUGAAGUCCUUCGGGACGUAAACUCCUUUCGAUCGGGACGAUAAUGACGGUACCGGAAGAAGAAGCCCCGGCUAACUUCGUGCCAGCAGCCGCGGUAAUACGAGGGGGGCGAGCGUUGUUCGGAAUUAUUGGGCGUAAAGGGUGCGUAGGCGGUUUGGUAAGUCUUAUGUGAAAUCUAUGGGCUCAACUCAUAGACUGCAUGAGAAACUGCCGGGCUCGAGUGUGGGAGAGGUGAGUGGAAUUUCCGGUGUAGCGGUGAAAUGCGUAGAUAUCGGAAGGAACACCUGUGGCGAAAGCGGCUCACUGGACCACAACUGACGCUGAUGCACGAAAGCUAGGGGAGCAAACAGGAUUAGAUACCCCGGUAGUCC